rnacentral:rRNA from 1 species
AUUUUAUAAAUAUAAAAGUUAAAUUGAAUUUAUUUAAUUAAUAAAAAAAAAUUAGGUGAAAUUUUAUUUUUUUUUAAUUAAUAUAAAAAAUUGUAUUGAAUCUUGAAAAUUUUAUUUUUAAACUAGGAUUAGAUACCCUAUUAUUUAAUUAUUUAUUAAUAAAAGAUUAGAGUAGUAAUAGUUAUGGUCUUGAAACUCAAAAAAUUUGGCGGUAUUUUAGUCUAUUCAGAGGAACCUGUAAUGUAAUCGAUAAUCCMCGAUGGAUCUCACUUAAUUUUGUAAUUUAAUUUGUAUAUCGCCGUUAUUUGAAAAUUUUAUAAGAAAAAUAAUUUUCUAGAAUUUUUAUUAAAAAAUAAAUCAGGUCAAGGUGCAGUUUAUAAUUAAGUUUUAUAUGGGUUACAAUAAAUUUAUUUAUACGAAUUARAAAAUGAAAUAUUUUUAAGAAGGUGGAUUUGAUAGUAAAUUUUUAAAGAUAAGAAAAUUGAUUUUAGCUCUAAAAUAUGUAC